UACGAGCUCUUGAACCUUGGGCUCCUCCGCAGAUUCUCGUGUGGCACACCAGGACAGAAAAGCCCGUCCUCGUCAACGAGGGGAAGAAGGGAUUCACGGACCCCGACGUGGAGAUCUGACGCCGCCGCUAACACCGGUACUUUAUUUGGCUGGACCUUCAGGGGGUUGAACUCCAGCAGCCAUUUUGGACAAGCCUGGCAGGAAAGAACUGUAUUGCCGGGCGACUCCAUUUCAGGGACCGCAGAGUACUAGGGAGAAGAAUCCCUCGACCAUAACAAUGUUAACUAAAAACAAAAUACAAACACUUACAAUGACCGUGAUGUACAAAAUAAAUGCACUGUAAGUAAAGCACAGAUUAGUCCAAGAAGGCAAUAUUUAUUAAUUUUUAGUGUUGAAAUGAAAUGCGAUGUAAUAAUAACAGACUGAAGACCCAGUCAGGGGCAAGUGCAUCUCAAAAGGGCCGCAGAGUGUGCUUGGUUUUUUUGUGGGGUUUGGGGGUGGGUUAAUAUAUGUAUUUUUAUUUUUGGGCAAUUUUUUUGUUCUUCUUUUUUAUAUCUGCAUGGUGUGAUACUGUGACAAUUUCCAGCAUCCAAUCCUGUGAACGAGCGACGCCCCUCCCACACAGAAGGCAAACAGAAUCGAUGUCACUCACCCAGGAGCUGACCAAUCAGAGUGCAUCUCCAACUGUCACCCAUUCAUUCGUCAUUUGGCUGGCCGUGCCCUGACCUCACUUUUGGGGUUUGGGUGGGAAGGGGGGGUGGGGGGGGGGGGCAGCACAAGAGAAAGAGAUGCUUGUUUGGAGUGAGUCAGCAGCUAUGAAUGGACUGGAGGAAAACAACCAAACAACCAUCGGCCCUCAAUCCUGAAAAAAGAGGCACAGCACCAGCCCCCCCCCCCACCGAAAAAAGAGGCACAGCACCAGCCAAACCCCCCCCCCCCCAACCUGACAUGUGACAUCCGCUGGGGACCAGGACACCUGCUAGUCUUUUGGCACAUAAAGGUUUUUUUUUUUUUUUUUUAAAGGGAAGGGUUGCUUUUAGCUUUACUUAGCCUCCCUAAACCUCUUAAUUGCUUUCUUUUUGUUCCAUGUUUACACGCGGUUGUCCAAUACUACUGAAUCCUGUCUUGAUUUCAGACUUUGGUCUGGGGUACAGGGUCCUGGGUCAUGUGAAGAAUUCCUUCAUCAGAUGUCUACUGAAACUGGUGCCACCCUUAAACCAUGGCACGCCUCUGAUAUUUAUGAAAUUUGUAAAUUUGCUUCUACUGACUUUGUUUCACGAUAAUGCGGGGCAGGUUUCCAGAACGUGGCUUGACAUUUUGCUGCAUUAGAGAUAAUUCGUCUCUGCUAUGAUUCACACACUCACGCUUCUCUGACACUUGAACACUUGUUUUUUUUUUGUUUUUUGUUAAAGUGUUCAUUUAUUUCACCGUUCAGUUCGAGAGGGAAAGUGAAAGAUCAAUAAAUGCUACAGGCCACCGUUUACGAACAAGUAGCCAUUCCCUUGUUUUAAGCUUGUCUUGAAUUUUCCUACGGAUUAAGAAAUGACUGCAGUCCUCUUGUAAUGUGUCACAUGUGCUUGCUUCACCCGAACUUAUAAACAGAAAACCUGGCAAUUUGCACGUC